rnacentral:tRNA from 1 species
AAUAAAGUAAGCUAAAUUAAGCUAGUGGGUUCAUACCCCAAAAAUGAAGAACCUAUUCCUUUAUUA